rnacentral:lncRNA from 10 species
GUCCGUGUGAAUGAAACGAAAGGGGGGGUCUUCCGGCUCGCAGACACCGGGUCUGCGGCGGCCGCGCGCUCCCAACCCACCCGGAGCCUCCGCCGCGACAUCUUCCCACGUCCCCCAUCCAGGUCGCAGGCGCGGGGGAAAAGCCUCACGGCCGCACUGCGGCUCUGCCAAAAGGGAGCCGGGUCGAGCCGCUGAGAAAAACAGAGGGGAGACUCCUGGCGUUUGAAACCGGUCAGAACCCGCUCUCCAAGAGCUGGGGACACCCCUUGUUUGGAGGCUGAUCCCCAGCCCACCCGCUUCCUCCCCCUCCCCACACUCCUGCAGGCGCGGGGCGCAACUUGCAAUCCGAACUUCGCGCGGCCGGAGCAAGUUUGUCGGGGCGAGAAGCGCCUGGUCCUCGGUCCGCACCACCGCACUAGGUCCCCGCCACCGCCCCACCACUGUGUCAGGGGCCAGGCGUGGCCCCCGGCUGGCUAGGGAACCGAGCGCGGCGCCGCGGCUGCGCAUUCCGUGCGGGACGCCGCUGUCUCCCAAGGGUCGGGAUAAACUAGGGGGCGGUUGAUCUGAAAGUCUUAGCCACGACUAAUAGUCAACCGCCCAGGUGCGACCCGCAGCAGCCUUGGCGAUGCAGCUCGUUCUCCAGACGCGGGUCCACACCGGCGCGUCCUCGCCUCCAGGGACCGAUCGCUGUUCUCCGUGGCCGGUGACUUGGGGCGCCAGUGAGAAGCAAGUAGUCAAAGAAAACAUCCCGGGCAAACCGGCUGACCGAAAAUCCACUGUCGGGGUAGGGAGGCGCCCUCUACGGGGAUGAAGUCAUCGCUACCUUUGACUCUUUGAUCCUAGAUAACCGACCAAGACGUUUCCAGCCUAAUGCCUGACGCCUUUUGCUUCCUCCAUCCUGGUCCUCAGUCCCUGAACUCCCAGGACAGAAUUCCUGACCUCCUUGGUCAAGCCUUGGAUCGAGAAAGAGAAACUAUUAGUGUAAACAAACCAAUCAACCCCAAAACCAAAACUGUGCCUGCCAAUAGCCCAUUUCUUGGCCAUUGAUGGUGCAUGAAGAGAAAUGGAUCCAAUUAAGAAAAUCUUAAAAUCUUAAGGAAUAAGAAAAUGUAAUAAAGAGAAAGACAAUGUCAUGCUCAGGGAGCUAAUAUGAAUCCCAAAGGAAUAUUGACUGUUCAGGCUCAAGUUAAAUUACAGCAGAUCGAAAGUGAGGAGUUGAGUGGCAUCUUCUUUUCUCUUACUGUCGACCUUGUUAAAUGGGGAGUCCACACCCCUUGCCUACUCCUCCCUCCUCAACCCCGUGACAGUGGGCCUCCCCCCAACUGUAUUGAGCAUGCACUCUAAAACAGUUACUUUUUGAGAAGUCAAGUCUGGUGACCCAUUCUCAGCCCCUCAUCCCUUUGAUCUCCUUGGCAGCAUCCUACCCUAAGGCCUUCUCUAUGCUUCUCUGGACUUCUCUGCUGACCCUUCUCUUCCUUUGAGGACAGUAACAAGGUUUUUCCAACUCUCGAUCUCCCAGUAUCCCAAAGAAAUACCUUCUGAUUUCAAACUGAACCCAUCCAGAUGUCGUGGGACCUGAAGCUUGUAUAACUCCUGGGGGAACUUCUUAAAGGAAAGCAAUAAAAACUUACAAACAUAAUACUAGACAUGUAUCCUUGGAAGGGCCCAGGGAAAAUGAGGGGCUUGGAAAUUUGAGCUUCAAGGUAUAUCUCCGGGUUUCUCUUCAAUGUCAGGGACUCUUGAAUCCAUAUUAUCGUUGUAAAAUUUCAAGUCCAAAUAAAAAUAUCCAAAAAUCAACUCAUCUUUCCC